rfam:Streptococcus macacae NCTC 11558 final_molecule, whole genome shotgun sequence.
GGGGUCGUUACGGAUUCGACAGGCAUUAUGAGACUUAUUUUGCGACUCAUCAAGCGGAUGUAAAACGCCAGUUAAAUAUAACUGCAAAAAAUAACAAUUCUUACGCAGUAGCUGCCUAAAGCAGCCUGUGUGACCCGAUUCGGAUUGCUUGUGUCUGAUGACCGGUCUUAUUUAUAGCAAGCUACGGUACAAUCAGGUCUAGGGAUUUUACAAGAGAUUAAUAGACUCGUCUGGCUUUGGCCUGAGCUAUGUGUCAAAAUCAGGUUAAAUUAAGACAUAGCCUAUGGUUGUAGACAAAUAAGUUGGCAGGUGUUUGGACGUGGGUUCGACUCCCACCGACUCCAUAA